CGGAUGCGUAAGUCAGUGGUGAAAUCUCACAGCUCAACUGUGAAACUGCCAUUGAUACUGCGUGUCUUGAGUAAGGUAGAAGUGGCUGGAAUAAGUAGUGUAGCGGUGAAAUGCAUAGAUAUUACUUAGAACACCAAUUGCGAAGGCAGGUCACUAUGUCUUAACUGACGCUGAUGGACGAAAGCGUGGGGAGCGAACAGGAUUAGAUACCCUGGUAGUCCACGCCGUAAACGAUGCUAACUCGUUUUUGGGGCUUCGGCUUCAGAGACUAAGCGAAAGUGAUAAGUUAGCCACCUGGGGAGUACGAACGCAAGUUUGAAACUCAAAGGAAUUGACGGGGGCCCGCACAAGCGGUGGAUUAUGUGGUUUAAUUCGAUGAUACGCGAGGAACCUUACCAAGGCUUAAAUGGGAAUUGACAGGUUUAGAAAUAGACUUUUCUUCGGACAAUUUUCAAGGUGCUGCAUGGUUGUCGUCAGCUCGUGCCGUGAGGUGUUAGGUUAAGUCCUGCAACGAGCGCAACCCCUGUUACUAGUUGCUACCAUUAAGUUGAGGACUCUAGUAAGACUGCCUACGCAAGUAGAGAGGAAGGUGGGGAUGACGUCAAAUCAUCACGGCCCUUACGCCUUGGGCCACACACGUAAUACAAUGGCCGGUACAGAGGGCAGCUACACAGCGAUGUGAUGCGAAUCUCGAAAGCCGGUCUCAGUUCGGAUUGGAGUCUGCAACUCGACUCUAUGAAGCUGGAAUCGCUAGUAAUCGCGCAUCAGCCAUGGCGCGGUGAAUACGUUCCCGGGCCUUG
rnacentral:rRNA from 1 species